AGAGUUUGAUCAUGGCUCAGGAUGAACGCUGGCCGGCGUGCUUAACACAUGCAAGUCGAACGAACCUUCGGGUUAGUGGCGGACGGGUGAGUAACGCGUGGGAAUCUGCCCUCAGGAGGGGGAUAACGGCUGGAAACGNCCGCUAAUACCCCAUAUGCCGAGAGGUGAAACGAAUUUCNCCUGAGGAUGAGCCCGCGUCUGAUUAGCUAGUUGGUGAGGUAAGAGCUCACCAGGGCAUCGAUCAGUAGCUGGUCUGAGAGGAUUAUCAGCCACACUG
rnacentral:rRNA from 1 species